rnacentral:rRNA from 1 species
ACCUACCUAUAAGACUGGAAUAACUUCGGGAAACCGGAGCUAAUGCCGGAUAACAUAUAGAACCGCAUGGUUCUAUAGUGAAAGAUGGUUUUGCUAUCACUUAUAGAUGGACCCGCGCCGUAUUAGCUAGUUGGUAAGGUAAUGGCUUACCAAGGCGACGAUACGUAGCCGACCUGAGAGGGUGAUCGGCCACACUGGAACUGAGACACGGUCCAGACUCCUACGGGAGGCAGCAGUAGGGAAUCUUCCGCAAUGGGCGAAAGCCUGACGGAGCAACGCCGCGUGAGUGAUGAAGGUUUUCGGAUCGUAAAACUCUGUUAUUAGGGAAGAACAAAUGCGUAAGUAACUGUGCGCAUCUUGACGGUACCUAAUCAGAAAGCCACGGCUAACUACGUGCCAGCAGCCGCGGUAAUACGUAGGUGGCAAGCGUUAUCCGGAAUUAUUGGGCGUAAAGCGCGCGUAGGCGGUUUCUUAAGUCUGAUGUGAAAGCCCACGGCUCAACCGUGGAGGGUCAUUGGAAACUGGGAAACUUGAGUGCAGAAGAGGAAAGUGGAAUUCCAUGUGUAGCGGUGAAAUGCGCAGAGAUAUGGAGGAACACCAGUGGCGAAGGCGACUUUCUGGUCUGUAACUGACGCUGAUGUGCGAAAGCGUGGGGAUCAAACAGGAUUAGAUACCCUGGUAGUCCACGCCGUAAACGAUGAGUGCUAAGUGUUUAGGGGGUUUCCGCCCCUUAGUGCUGCAGCUAACGCAUUAAGCACUCCGCCUGGGGAGUACGACCGCAAGGUUGAAACUCAAAGGAA